ACAACACAGCUGCAUUAUGUUACAGUUUUGGAGGCCGGAAAUUCAAAAUCCUUCCCACUGAGCUAAAGUCAAGGCGUGGGCAGCGCCGUGUUCCUUCUGGAAGCUCUUGGGGAGAAUCGUUUCUUAGCCUCUUCCAGCUUCUCGAGGCUACUUGCAGUCCUUGGCUUGUGGCCCCCUCCUCCCUCUUCAAAGUGUAGCAUCUUCAAAUCUCUUUCUGACUGUGCUUCCCUCUGCUUCUGUGGUCUGGUCACCUUCUGUGACCCCCACCCUUGGCCUCUUGUAAGGACCCUUGUGAUUAUUCUGGGCUCACCGGAUAAUGCAGGAUCAUCUCCCCAUCUCAAGGUCACAUCUGCAAAACCCUUUUGCCAUGUAAGGUGAUGUAUUUAUAGGCUCCGGGCAUUGGGACGCAGACAUCUUUGGGGGCCGUUAUUCAACCAGCCAUAGCGGGGUGGUCCAGUGAGCUGGUUGGGCCAUCAAGGGAUGGAGGCAUGCUCACCGGCCUGUCCCUUGCAGCUGUGCCCUGUGGGGCUCAAGCAGGUCUGAGUGGGCGGCGGCUGCCUAGCAGAGGGUGGAGCUUCUGGACAUGUCUGUUCUGAGAUGAUGCGUCUUCCUGUGGGCAGGACUGUGACUAGGGUGGGCAGGACAGCUGGGUAGGGCCAGAAACCCACCUUCUUCCCAAAGUCAAAUACACUCAUUCUUCUGUAUGUUUCUCCCACGUGAGCCCCUAGCCCCAGAGAGGACCAUUUCUCCAGCUCCAGGUAGGAGUGAUUUUUGAGUGCUUAGAAGUUUUGUGGGUUUUUUUAUUUUCUCAGUUCCCCCAGGAGACCCACAUGAGCCACACGGGCAGUUUUGAGUUUCCCAAGUUCAGCUAUUUUCGCGUUAGUCAUGCUUCAAAGGGAGCAGCUGGUGAAAGCCACAAAAAUAGUUAGAAUGUUUUCUGGUCCCUGAGAGAUCCUCGGGGGCCAGUGGCCACUGUGGCCCCAGCCGCCUGCUCCAGGGCUGGCUUUGGAAGGCUGACCGCCAGCCUCACUUUCAUGCGUUGUGCCUGAUGGCCCCAAGCUGGACUCGAUCCAACAAACUCUGCUGAAUCCUUCCCCCUCCCUUCAGCCCCCAUUUUGAAGGCCCUCAGGGAUGGGGCAGUGCUUCCUGGGUCUUCUGGGCCCAAGGUUUCUGCGGACCUACCCACUUAGGGCUCUAGCUGGUGGCUGGAGGUCUAGGGGGAAAGGAAAGGCAAUGAACAGGACUUUGUUCUUCCCAGAGGGUCUCGCAGCUG
rnacentral:lncRNA from 1 species